AACGCUAGCUACAGGCUUAACACAUGCAAGUCGAGGGGAAACGACAUCGAAAGCUUGCUUUUGAUGGGCGUCGACCGGCGCACGGGUGGGUAACGCGUAUCCAACCUGCCCACCACUUGGGGAUAACCUUGCGAAAGUAAGACUAAUACCCAAUGACGUCUCUAGAAGACAUCUGAAAGAGAUUAAAGAUUUAUCGGUGAUGGAUGGGGAUGCGUCUGAUUAGCUUGUUGGCGGGGUAACGGCCCACCAAGGCGACGAUCAGUAGGGGUUCUGAGAGGAAGGUCCCCCACAUUGGAACUGAGACACGGUCCAAACUCCUACGGGAGGCAGCAGUGAGGAAUAUUGGUCAAUGGGCGAGAGCCUGAACCAGCCAAGUAGCGUGCAGGAUGACGGCCCUAUGGGUUGUAAACUGCUUUUAUAAGGGAAUAAAGUGGGCCUCGUGAGGCUUUUUGCAUGUACCUUAUGAAUAAGGACCGGCUAAUUCCGUGCCAGCAGCCGCGGUAAUACGGAAGGUCCGGGCGUUAUCCGGAUUUAUUGGGUUUAAAGGGAGCGUAGGCCGGAGAUUAAGCGUGUUGUGAAAUGUAGGCGCUCAACGUCUGCACUGCAGCGCGAACUGGUUUCCUUGAGUACGCACAAAGUGGGCGGAAUUCGUGGUGUAGCGGUGAAAUGCUUAGAUAUCACGAAGAACUCCGAUUG
rnacentral:rRNA from 1 species